GGGGGAGCAGAGGCGAGGAGGAGGGACCCCGGUGGGGAGCGCAGGAGUUCCUGCUGUGGUCUUUGCAGAGAGGCCAGAAUAAGAGAUAAGAAAGUCAAGGUGGAUGGAAAAGAAGGAAAACGGAUCAUUCCCGGCAACGUGGACCUGAGGCAAUCAACGCCCAUCCUUCCGUGGAGCAUGCCCAGCGUGGGGAAGUGUAGCUGUGGAGGAGGGCCCCACCCCUCCCGGACGUCACCUGCAGUACUGGGAGGAGAGUGAGGCCAGGGAUAUGGCUACAGUACCAACACCCGCACUCCACCCCAUCCCAAACACCUGCACGACCAGCGCCUGCAAGCACGGAAGAGCCAGCAUUUACCCCCAGCCGCAUAACUUUCAGAAUCCCCCGAAGUGCUUUCUGAUAUGGGUGGUGGCUUCCCUUUCAUCAUUAGUGACAGAAGGGAAACCAUCAGAAAUAUUGUAUUAAUAAAGAUAUCUUUCUGAGCCUAGUACUGAAAACAUCCAUCACAAAGAAAAUUAGAACAAAAAAUUGCAAUGCGCUAUAAAACAUUGCUCUUUUUGGGUCUGUGAGCUCAUUUUUCUUUUGAAUGGAUUCUGUUUCAUUUUUCUCAUCAUAUUGGAGUCAUUGCUAACUGAAGAGCCGCUAAAAACUUAC
rnacentral:lncRNA from 1 species